GGGAAUGUAGCUUAGUGGUAGAGUGCUUGCCUAGCUUGCAUGAAGCCCUGGGUUCAAUUCCUCAGUACCA
rfam:Dipodomys ordii contig_34957, whole genome shotgun sequence.